AAAGUAGGAUAAUUUAGUCUGCUAGGUUCAUACCCUAGAGGUGAUUUUCCUUUAUUA
rnacentral:tRNA from 1 species